CUGUGUGCAUAGCUAUUUGUGAGGUCCAAAAUGGCGGACACCCGAAUCUAUACCCACCCACGUUACAAACGUUCAAUUACACAACUACCGGUAAGCACCCGAAAGAAUGGAACUUCCGUUUCUACAAUUAGUCGAAUAAUAGAGGAACUCUUCGCCGAAGUAUCUGGUAUUCACAGAGAGAGAGAGAGAGAGAGAGAGAGAGUAAAAAGGAGAAAAAGAAAAGGACCUCACUUUUCGGAGGUGGUCAUUAAAACGCACACGAUUCGAACGAUGCAUUUUCAUAUCGAUCGAUGCGAAAGGAGGACACCCGGACUUUGAAGACCGCUAGCCGCGCGAAAGCAGAAAACAAGCGGUGCGAAAACCGCAUUCGCACAGGAUGCAGGAUCGACGUCUCCCCGAUCGGAAAGGAGA
rnacentral:misc_RNA from 1 species